AUUGAACGCUGGCGGCAGGCCUAACACAUGCCAGUCGAGCGGAUGAAGGGAGCUUGCUCCUGGAUUCAGCGGCGGACGGGUGAGUAAUGCCUAGGAAUCUGCCUGGUAGUGGGGGAUAACGUCCGGAAACGGGCGCUAAUACCGCAUACGUCCUGAGGGAGAAAGUGGGGGAUCUUCGGACCUCACGCUAUCAGAUGAGCCUAGGUCGGAUUAGCUAGUUGGUGGGGUAAAGGCCUACCAAGGCGACGAUCCGUAACUGGUCUGAGAGGAUGAUCAGUCACACUGGAACUGAGACACGGUCCAGACUCCUACGGGAGGCAGCAGUGGGGAAUAGUGGACAAUGGGCGAAAGCCUGAUCCAGCCAUGCCGCGUGUGUGAAGAAGGUCUUCGGAUUGUAAAGCACUUUAAGUUGGGAGGAAGGGCAGUAAGUUAAUACCUUGCUGUUUUGACGUUACCAACAGAAUAAGCACCGGCUAACUUCGUG
rnacentral:rRNA from 1 species